rnacentral:rRNA from 1 species
UACGGAGGGUGCAAGCGUUAUCCGGAUUCACUGGGUUUAAAGGGUGCGUAGGUGGGUUGGUAAGUCAGUGGUGAAAUCUCCGUGCUUAACAUGGAAACUGCCAUUGAUACUACUGAUCUUGAAUUUUCAGGAGGUAAGCGGAAUAUGUCAUGUAGCGGUGAAAUGCUUAGAUAUGAUAUAGAACACCAAUUGCGAAGGCAGCUUACUACAGGAAUAUUGACACUGAUGCACGAAAGCGUGGGGAUCAAACAGG